GAUUAGAAACGAGAGUGGGUGCCAGAUAGGAAAUACUAGUCUCAUUAUGAAGAAGGAAAGGGUGAACUAGUGCAUGCAGUUUGGCAUUGUUGUGGAAGAAGGAUGCAGAUUCCACGGAUACACACUGAAAGAGAAGCAACUGGCCACCUACCCCCACAAGAUUGUAAAAUAGCUGAUCUACACCUCCUACAUUUUAAUCUCCUGAAGGAAGGAAUGUCUGGAUCAAAGACAGAAUCACUGUCCUCAGAAUCCCCUUCAGUUGUAAUGGAGUCUUCACUGUGUUUGCUGAGGUUGUCUCUUGGGACAGGAAUCUGAUCAGCAGGGCUUAAGAGGUGGGAUGGUCCCACUUGAGGGCAGAGUUACAGCUGCCACCUUCCGGGAUACUUGGCGUGUGGUGAAGUGAUGUCCAGAGAGGUAAUUGAGAGCAACUAUCCACUGGUUUCUGAUGGGUGUGCUGCUUUCUCCAUCAGGAUUCCCAGGGAUUAUAAACAUCACUUUAUCAGCCUUCAGGAUGUGAUCUCUUGUCCAACAGUUUGGAUCCUAUGGAAAAAUUGUUUGUAUACAGUACAGAUUGCAUAUAAAUAUGCAUAUUGCAUAUGAAAUUGCAAUGUGUAUUUGCACAUAUUGUGUCUCCCUAACCUCUAUCCCCACAUCACGAUCCACCAGGUAUGGGAAGAGAUGGCAGGUGUUCUUCAGGAAAUCAGCAAACAUGUUGAUGAAUUCCAUAUACAGCUGGUUUUCUGCUAUAUAAAUAAGAAGAACUGUCGGCUGGACUUCCUGCAGGGCCUGCAGUUUAUCUGUGUGUGGAUAAAGUACCCUUAUUGUUAUAAGAAUAUUCUCAUUACUAUGAUCAAGUUAGUAACCAAUUGUGAAAUCACAUCCAUGUAUUGGUAAGCUGAUGAAAAGUAAAGAAUUUAUUACUCUAA
rnacentral:lncRNA from 1 species